rnacentral:rRNA from 1 species
GACGAACGCUGGCGGCGUGCCUAAUACAUGCAAGUCGAACGAGAGCGACCGGUGCUUGCACUGGUCAAUCUAGUGGCGAACGGGUGAGUAACACGUGGGUCACCUGCCCAUCAGUGGGGGAUAAUAUUCGGAAACGGAUGCUAAAACCGCAUAGGUCUUCGAACCGCAUGGUUGGAAGAGGAUACGAGGCGCACGCUUCUGCAGAUGCAUGGACCCGCGGUGCAUUAGCUAGUUGGUGAGGUAACGGCUCACCAAGGUCGUGAUGCGUAGCCGACCUGAGAGGGUGAUCGGCCACAUUGGGACUGAGACACGGCCCAAACUCCUACGGGAGGCAGCAGUAGGGAAUCUUCCGCAAUGGACGCAAGUCUGACGGAGCAACGCCGCGUGAGUGAAGAAGGUGUUCGGAUCGUAAAACUCUGUUGUUAGAGAAGAAUAAGUGCUGGAGUAACUGUUAGCGCCUUGACGGUAUCUAACCAGAAAGCAACGGCUAACUACGUG